AUUGAACGCUGGCGGAAUGCCUAACACAUGCAAGUCGAGCGGGGGUAGCAAUACUUCAGCGGCGGACGGGUGAGGAAUACAUAGGAAUCUGCCUUUAAGUGGGGGAUAGCCAGGGGAAACUCUGGGUAAUACCGCAUGAUCUCGAGAGAGCAAAGGGGCGCAAGUCUCGCCUUUAGAGGAGCCUACGUCUGAUUAGCUAGUUGGCGGUGUAAUGGACCACCAAGGCGAUGAUCAGUAACUGGUCUGAGAGGACGAUCAGUCACACCGGAACUGAGACACGGUCCGGACUCCUACGGGAGGCAGCAGUGGGGAAUAUUGGACAAUGGGCGAAAGCCUGAUCCAGCAAUUCCGCGUGUGUGAAGAAGGCCUUCGGGUUGUAAAGCACUUUAGUUGGGGGAGAAACAGCUUGGCCACACCAAGCCUUGACGGUACCCAAAGAAUAAGCACCGGCUAACUCUGUGCCAGCAGCCGCGGUAAGAC
rnacentral:rRNA from 1 species